UCACAUUUUUGUUGUUUUAGCUGAGUUUUUCCUUCCUUCUCAACAGAUCAAGAAUGUCACACAUGCACACAAAAAAAGCUGGAAAAUAGACUCUACAGACUGCUUUUUACAUAUAUUAAGUAGAAGAUGCAAGUUUACCUCCCAUUAAUUUAAGUCUUCCACUUGAUGAGUCAGGCAAGUUUCAUAUAGAGUCUUCAUUAAAUCCCAGAUGUCUAAAAUAUCACCGUUAGUUACCUUUUUGGAGACAGAUUAGCAUCAAUGCUGUGAGAAAAACAAACAAGCAAGUGAGGAAAAAAAAUAAAGUCUUGCUAAGGGCUCUGUGCUGUCCUUCUGUUGUCCUUUCCUGUUCUCAGUAUCACUGUCCUGCAGCAUAUGCCAGUAUGUACUACAGAAGCACUGCACACAGUGACAAAUAUACCUACUAUUAGAGCGAUGGAACUGGAUUACUCGGAGGUAAAGUCUCUGGUUUUGUCUGUUGACAUGAAGGUAUCAUUAAAAUGUAAAAAGGAAGACUGGGACUUAGAAAUAUGUAGAUGCAGGUAUAAUCUUAUAAUGUAG
rnacentral:lncRNA from 1 species